AUUGAACGCUGGCGGCAGGCCUAACACAUGCAAGUCGAACGAGUGGCGGACGGGUGAGUAAUGUCUGGGAAACUGCCGGAUGGAGGGGGAUAAAUAGUGGAAACGGUAGCUAAUACCGAAUAACAUGGGAUGUGCCCAGAUGGGAUUAGCGAGUAGGUGGGGUAAAGGCUCACCUAGGCGACGAUCCCUAGCUGGUCUGAGAGGAUGACCAGCCACACUGGAACUGCGACACGGUCCAGCCUCCUACGGGCGGCACCAGUGGGGAAUAUUGCACAACGCGCGCAAGCCUGAUUCAGCCAUGCCGCGUAUAUGAAGAGGGCCUUCGGGUUGUAAAGUACUUUCAGCGGGGAGGCGUUACCCGCAGAAGAAGCACCGGCUAACUCCGUGCCAGCAGCCGCGGUAAUAC
rnacentral:rRNA from 1 species